GAGUUUGAUCGUGGCUCAGGAUGAACGCUGGCGGCGUGCCUAAUACAUGCAAGUCGAGCGAACGGACGAGAAGCUUGCUUCUCUGAUGUUAGCGGCGGACGGGUGAGUAACACGUGGAUAACCUACCUAUAAGACUGGGAUAACUUCGGGGAAACCGGAGCUAAUACCGGAUAAUAUUUUGAACCGCAUGGUUCAAAAGUGAAAGACGGUCUUGCUGUCACUUAUAGAUGGAUCCGCGCUGCAUUAGCUAGUUGGUAAGGUAACGGCUUACCAAGGCAACGAUGCAUAGCCGACCUGAGAGGGUGAUCGGCCACACUGGAACUGAGACACGGUCCAGACUCCUACGGGAGGCAGCAGUAGGGAAUCUUCCGCAAUGGGCGAAAGCCUGACGGAGCAACGCCGCGUGAGUGAUGAAGGUCUUCGGAUCGUAAAACUCUGUUAUUAGGGAAGAACAUAUGUGUAAGUAACUGUGCACAUCUUGACGGUACCUAAUCAGAAGGCCACGGCUAACUACGUCG
rnacentral:rRNA from 1 species